CCCGCUGAACUUAAGCAUAUCAAUAAGCGGAGGAAAAGAAACUAACAAGGAUUCCCCUAGUAACUGCGAGUGAAGCGGGAAAAGCUCAAAUUUAAAAUCUGGCAGUCUUUGGCUGUCCGAGUUGUAAUCUAGAGAAGUAUUAUCCGCGCUGGACCGUGUACAAGUCUCCUGGAAUGGGGCGUCAUAGAGGGUGAGAAUCCCGUCUUUGACACGGACUGCCAGGGCUUUGUGAUAUGCUCUCAAAGAGUCGAGUUGUUUGGGAAUGCAGCUCAAAAUGGGUGGUAAAUUCCAUCUAAAGCUAAAUAUUGGCGAGAGACCGAUAGCGAACAAGUACCGUGAGGGAAAGAUGAAAAGAACUUUGGAAAGAGAGUUAAACAGUACGUGAAAUUGCUGAAAGGGAAAUGCUUGAAGUCAGUCGCGUUGGCCAGGGAUCAACCUUGCUUUUUUGCUUGGCUUACUUUCUGGUUGAUGGGUCAGCAUCAAUUUUGACUGGUGGAAAAAGUUCAAGGGAAUGUGGCAUCUUCGGAUGUGUUAUAGCCUUUGUUCACAUACAUUGGUUGGGAUUGAGGAACUCAGCACGCCGCAAGGCCGGGUUUUUAACCACGUACGUGCUUAGGAUGCUGGCAUAAUGGCUUUAAUCGACCCGUCUUGAAACACGG
rnacentral:rRNA from 1 species